ensembl:lncRNA
CAAGGGACCUGAAUUCCCUGGCGGUUUGGGUAGAGCAUGUUCCACUCCUAAAGAUAUAUUAGGGACUUCCCUAAUAUCUGAUCUGGUGGUUAAGAAUCCGCCUUGCAAUGCAGGGGACACAGGUUCGAUCCCUGGUCAGGGUACUAAGAUCCCACAUGCCACGGGGCAGCAAAGCCAAUGAGCCAGAACUACUGAGCACAAGCACUCUAGGGCCAUGAGGAGAGAUCCCACAUGACACAGUGAAACUCCCUUGUGGGGCAACAAGAUCCAGAGCAGCCAAAUAUAAAUAAAUAAAUAAAUAAAUAAACAUUUUUUAAAAUAAAGAGAUAUGAGAUGUUUGCUGGUGUGGCCCGAGGAGGGCAUGGUAAGCCCCAGACAGAACCAACUACGGAGGGUUUGGGGGGAGGGGUCGUCAAGCCAUGGGGUGAUGGAAGUGAAGUGCAUCAGGUCAGUGGGAAGAAAGGACCACGAUGUGGAAGAAUGAUGGAUAGAGAGAGGGUGUCUGUAUGUAUUAAUCCCUCUUUUACAGAAGAAGAAACUUGGACCCAAAGAGGUAGUCAUUUAACCAUGUUUCCUAGAACUGUGUGACCUCCGGAAAUGGGACGCUCAGGGCUAGAAGACAGGACUUAGCUUCGACCAGAAGAGAACAACAGGCCUCCAAGUUCUCCAUGUGGGACUGACAAGCACUAGCUUGGACAUUGUGUAGCAGCUUCUUAGUCUCUGUAACAGAGUAAUUAGAGAGUAAUAGAGUAAAUAAAGCCCCAGGGAGUUGAAGAACUACUGAACUGAUCCUAGCCACAAGGACGUGACAAUGAGGCCCAAACUAUUAAUAUGUGAGCUUCUGGCAAGAAACUUAAAAGAUGCAAAGGAGUAAGAGAAUCAAGCCAAACUGACGAAUACAAACCAGGGUAUUUAUUAGCUCAUGAACAGAAAUGUUGAAGGGGUGUCCUUCAGGCAUAGCUGGGUCCAGGUGUUAGGGGUAGCACACUGAUUGAAACCGCCCACCCUGGCCAGGCACCAUAGUAACCAUUUGCUUGAGUUGUUUUAUGACAGGAGAUCCUGAUAAGGGAUAGGGAACUAAUAAGCCACCACCAACCAGAAGAGUUCGGGAAAGGUCAAAAGGAGACACCGCAUGUCUGUCCACUUCCCAGAAUCCCUCUCACUAGCAUCCAUGUUGGCUGAGCGAUGCGUGGGCCACCAGGAAAGACCCUGAAUUAGAAUGAUUGGCCAAAGACCAC